GCGGGUGUAGUUUAGUGGUAAAACCUCAGCCUUCCAAGCUGAUGAUGCGGGUUCGAUUCCCGCACCCGCU
rnacentral:tRNA from 1 species